UUUAAUUUUGACGAGCCGGUUGGCGUGGUUGGUAGAUACUUGCCUUUCACGCCGAAGGUUGUGGGUUCGAUUCCCACCCAGGACAGACAUUUGUGUGCAUGAACAUGUCUGUUUGUCCUGAGUCUGGGUGUAAUUAUCUAUAUAAGUAUGUAUUUACAAAAAGAAAA